UCGACAUCAUUAUUAGAAUCCAUACAAAUUACCAACAAAUUCGACAUCAUUAUUAGAAUCCAUACAUGUUUAAUAAACGAAGUCCACAUGUAUGCCAUGUCCACAACGAUAGCCUCUCGAUAAUCCUGACAACACCAUCACGAGACGAGAGCCAAGUUAAAACGACCUGAACCAGACUUUUCGCGAGUCAUUUUCUUGGGGAAUGAAGAUGCUCUCCCGCGCGCGGGAACUUGGCACGCUGCCGGCUCACACCCAAGUCACAUGGUUCAGCAUUCGGCCUGUCCACUUCGCGGUACUUGUAUCUAAUAUUCACCUCCUUAGUAUGCCCGGUAGUCCAGUGUCUUGCAGUUUAUAGAAAAUGUGUGUAAUUGAAGGCCUCGGAGAAACGAAAACUCUCAAUUGCAUGCGAGCAUUCAUUUUGGAAAACGUGUUGCAUUGGCGAUGAUGUAAUAUAAUUCACAGCAUCCAAACAGAGAGGAGGAAUGACCCGGUUACCAUAUCUUCAAGCGACUGCAUAUUCCGAAUACCGCCAGAAAACAUAAUCAUUAUUUUGUUAAGCGUUUCAUAUUAAAGUGAGGCUAGAGCGGCGCUACUUAAGAAUAUCAGAUUGUGAUACAUAUUUUAGAGAUGGAAGAUUAAAGAUCUGGGAAAUAGAAAGCAAAACAAGAAUUCAAUCAUAACCUUUAAAACAACAUAAAUGGAGCAGUUUCGGUGGGUCCUUUUGGAGAAAAUACUAUAAGGGAAAAUGAAAACCCAGAUGUUAAUCACGUGUGAUUUCCCUGCUUUUAUUCACUCCACAAUACUGACUUCUCUGGUUUACGACAAUUCCAGGGGAACCGGAGGUUGUACUGCGUGUGUACCAGACUGGGAAAGCCACACUGGUUCUUGCUAAAGAAAACGGGAAAUCACAAACAUGUGAUCUACCACCAUGAUGGCGCCUACGGCAAGAUGCUACUGAUGUCGACGUCAUCUUGCAGAAGAAAAAAGAUAAUCCACCAUGCUUAUAAAAAUGGGAGGGCAGCCUCCAAAGCUCUAAGAACCAGCCAAUAUCUCCUGUUGGUUGCAUUGUCCCUUUAGAACCUCCUGCAUUGAGCUGUCCCACGUGGUCCUUCGUAUGGCCACCCCCUGUCAAUUUAUCAGUGAAUAAUUCCCUUAAAGUUUCCCUCCCUGCUAUGUGCAUCUCCACCAGGUUCCUCCUUACUCUAAGUGCAAGCCUCGAUUCAAGAGAAUUCGCAAUUUUUCCCCGCGUAAUUGCGUGUAUCUUCCAUUCAAAGACGGUGCAAGUAAAGCUGUGGAAACAUCCAGUUCGUCUUGUGCCUUCCACAGUGAAAAUAGCUACUGAGCUCUAUCCAACAGUGUCCCUUUUCAGGAGGAUCAUACCAUAAAUUCUGUUAAUUCUAAUCACCCACUUGACAGGACUCUGUUAGCUUGUCUGAUUAAAUUCUCCAUUCUUCUUAUUCAUGUGUUAUGUUGAUAUAAUUGAUUG